UCGUCAUGAGACGGAGUGACUGGGUGGGACAUCGUCACCCAGGAAAGUCCCCGGGCCCACUUCUGCAGAGAUGCAGCCCCGGAAACGGGAGAACUUCGAGUCGGAGGGCCGCUUGCCUAGUGCGAGGGGCUGAGACGCGUGUGGAGCCUCCUUGGACUCUCCGCCGAAGUUAUUUGGCCGUUGACUCACAGUUAUUCACUCGGUCCCACUCUUAACAGUGAGACUAACAGAACGGGGCUUACGAUCUCGUGGUG
rnacentral:RNase_MRP_RNA from 2 species